rnacentral:lncRNA from 13 species
ACAUGAUAUCAUUUAGUUUAGUAAGAUAGGUAAGAAACGAGAUCAUUGUAAAUUUUAUGUAUUAUAUUACUAAAUGUAAGGAUCACUUAUGUUCAUAAAAUGAGUAGGGUAUCUAUCACUAUAUAACAAAUCACUCCAAAACUUAGUGGCUUAGAAUAAGUAUGUUAUCGUAUUACUAUUUCUCAUGAUUUGGGGGUUCAACUGAAAGAAUGGAGUUAUUCUCUAAAGCUUCCAUACUCACAUAUCUGGCUAGUGAUGUUGAGGCUGUUGAACUUUUGCCUGAAACGCCCACAUAAUGGAACACUGUGGCCUCUCCACGUGGCCUAAAUUUCCUCACAGCGUGGGAGCUGGGUCCCAAGAGUGAUCAUCCCAAGCACGCCUGGCAGCAGCUGUGCUGACUCGUAGGACCUAACCUUAGAGUUAAGGUUAGAAGCAUGGCUAAACUGCUGUGUCACGGUCCUGCCUGGAUUCGAAGAAGAGGAAGAUAGUCCCUGCCUCUCAGAGUGAGGAGUGACAACUCGCAUGUUAAGAUGAGCAGAUUCUUGCUGUAUUGGCCAGGCUGGAGUGCAGUGGUGCAAUCUUGGCUAACUGCAACCUCCACCUCCCAGGUUCAAGCCAUUCUUCUGCCUCAGCCUCCUGAGUAGCUAACAGGUAUGUGACAUCACGCCCGUGACAUCAUGCCUGGAUAAUUUUUGUAUUUUUAGUAGAGACAGGUUUUUGCCAUGUUGGCCAGGCAGGUUUU